CGCGAGAAGUGCUUUGCACCGGAGGACAAGAAACAAAGAAAUUG
rnacentral:rRNA from 1 species